UCAAAACAAAGCGUCUGCAACGUCCGUCGGACUUUCUGGAUCAAACUGGAUCAUGCCAGCAGUGACACAACGCUACAGGAAGAGGACUGAGCCAAAACGUCUCCACAACAAUCAGAGGAACUGAGAUCUGAAAAGGAAGCCGUCUUCCUGCCAACCAGCCUGAAGGCCAAAGAAUCACCAAGCAACCGGAAAACACGAGCAGAAUACCCCUA